GCUACCAGCCAUGCUACCCUGAACACGCCCGAUCCCGUCUGAUGUCAGAAGCUAAGCAGGGUCAGGCCUGGUUAGUACUUGGAUGGGAGACCACCUAGGAAGACCGGGUGCUGUGAGCG
rnacentral:rRNA from 1 species